CUGCGAUGCACAGAGGGGAAAAAAAUCCUGCGGCGGCGCACGACCUCCACCGGCGGUGACUGGGCUGGAAAAAAUGGAGGAUGCUGGCAUGGAGUUCCUGCUCGAUGCCGUUGACAGAUUUCCAUUGCGGGAGGAGUUCGCCGACAGUCAUCAGCACCCAGAUCCGGUUCCUCGUGCAUUGUUGGCGAACCCCGGAAGUGAAGUUGCCGCCCGAGCAGACUCGAGUACUGGGUCUGGUUGUGCUCAACAGCUCAGUGUCGAAGUCAAUGGCAGCGCACGAGACGGGGUGUGGCGACGUCCCGACUCUUCCCCGACAAGGUCCGCUCAGUCAACUGACAGGAUCAACGCGCAGGCACUUGGGUGGACUAAAAGGGUCGUGAUGUGAUCCACCCUGUGAAGAGGGUAAUUUCUGCUUGUGAUUUGGGCAAGGAUCUGGGUGCUCUUCGUUUGCUCACUGUGUUUGUUCCUAGGUCAGCACCGCUGUUGUCAGCGGGUAGAAUGGUCGACUGGCCAUGGAGCCCUCUGCGAGCAGGUGAGCUUAAUUUCUAGGGGUAUGAGGUGAUUCUGGUCACCUCCGGCGCCGUCGGCGUCGGGAGGUAGAGGCUCAUGUACCGAAAGCUCAUCAACAGCAGUUUCGCUGAUCUGCAGAACCCACAGUUCGACCUGGAUGGGAAGGCCUACGCUGCCGUCGGCCAGAGUGGCCUCAUGGCUAUUUACAAUACACUGCUUAGCCAAUUGUUCGUCGUCUGUGUUGUUAGCCAGCAAGUCCGUGUCGUUAGCCAGCAAGGCAUCUUGGGAUAGCUACAAAUCUGUUGCAUACGCUUUUCAAAAUUAGGCGGAGAAACUUUUACCAAUUGGUGGCAGGUCCCUUUUUGGUUUGCUACAUUAUUUUGCUGUUUAUUAGGCAACGCACUAAUUUCCCUUUGCUUACUAAUGCCAUGAUUCCUUUUAUGUUUAUGGUAAAAACAGUUGGGUAAUUCUUCUGUUGCUUCAUGGAUUUUCCUGCACGUUGUGUCUGUAUUAUUGUCACUGAAGAUAUACCUCAACUGAAGAUCUAGCUCGCGACGAUUAUGUACCUAAGGCUCGGAUGCAAGGUGCGAGUCAACAAUGCCAGUAGUGAGUCGAGAGAAGUGGAGAAGAGGGUCCCUCCAGGCUCCAUACAUGAAUGGUGGUGGCAUGUGGCAAUGUCGGGGAAAGCAAGGAAGAUGUUGUUGUACAUCGUCGAACAUAUAAACCCUGGUGGCCAAACUAAAUGUUUUAUAUUCCUUUGGGAAAAUUUUAAGGAAAUCCCCCCAAACAAAUUAUUCAGGUUAGAAGGAACAACUUUCACAUAGAAAGCACAUUGUAUCAAACUUCAGAUAAGUCUUGAUGCACCCUUCAGGCUGCAUGAUUAAUGCCUGUAAUUUACCUAAGCUAUCAACAAAUGGUUAGUUGCUGAGUUUACAUGCAGUUAUGAAAGUUAGAGCACAUACAUGCUUGAUUUUACUUCCUUUAAUACAGGGCAUUCUAUAAUUACUAAGAACUGAUUUGUUGAAGUGUGCCUCCCUAUUUUGUCCAGAUAACUACUUCAGGUUAGGCAGGAGAAAUAAAAAGGGUAACCAUAGAUAUAUGGUCUAGCAUCACGAGGUUCAGGUUCCUGCUGUUGAUCAACCAUUGCUUCAGUCGAGAGAUUAAAGAAGACUGAAAUAUGGGCUCAAGCGAUUGCUAUGUCCGACCUGCACAAGAAUGCCAAGAAGUCUUUCUCGGAGAUGAUUAAGGACAUGUACCUGCACUACAACGAGAGAUCUGGGCUGCUUCUUUGUGGCUUCCAAACUUGAAAUGUUUGUUUGGAAGUUAGUUUAGUUUUUUGUUUUGGAUUCACAGCUUCUCACAUGUACCAUCCUCUUAGACCUUUAGAUUUCCAAAGAAACUAAAUGAAGAUAUGGUGGUAUGGUCUCAAUAGUACAACUUAAAUCUUUCUAUGCUUUAUAUUUGCUCUGAAAUUUGCUCUUGAAGAAUCAUGUAUCUAUGUUAGAUCCCGUGAGCUUUAUAUUUGCUCUGAAAUUUGUUCUUGAAGCAUCAUGUAUUUGUGUUAGAUCCGGUGAGAAAAUGCGUCUUCCAAGCAAAGGAUGAGGGAGUGUUGGCCACAUUUGGUUUUCGACUUGGGUGUCUAAUAUUCUCACAAUACUUGGCUUCCUCUCGGCCUUUGCGCCAUUGGCGCAACGAGUCAUCUAGUCAAAUGUAAAACCUAAAGAAAGGUAUUGCCUGUGGUUUUGCAGAUUAAGGCUGGGAAGUGCACCACCGGACCGGACACAAUGCCCUUCCCGAAUGAGCGCUAUGGAGCAGUCGAUUCACAAGUACGCAGAGCAGCCAACAAAAAGUGUGAUAAGGCAUGCAAGUAAAAUAUACACUAGGGCGAUGUUUGAAGAAUUCGGACGCUUGUUAAUUGAAGCGACAGCAUACGAUGUCACAGAGAAGGAGAAGAUGAGGAAGUAUGUCACGGUUCACAACAAUGCAGCGAAAAGAGAGAAAUGGAGCAGGGUUGAGUAUGAGGUGAACAUAAGUGAAGACAAACAGAGUAUACAUGUGAAUGUGGUCAGUUCGAGCACACUGGAAUGUUGUGCAGCCAUGUUUUGAGGGUCAUGGAGAUACUACAUGUGGAGGGGAUCCCUUCUAAGCAUAUAUUGAAGCGGUGGACCAAAGACGCGAGGGACAUACUUCCAAAAGAUGUGGUUCAGUACCAGAGAGAUAAUUCAGUUAACAUGUCGUUGACAUGUAGGCACUCGACCCUUUACUUGAGAGCAAUGGAGGUAGUGCGGCUGGGUGACUCUAGUGCAGAAGCAUUCGAUCACAUAUUAGACGGGUUUGAAGCUCUUUUGGUGAGUGGAGCACCUUUCGGAAAGCGAAGGGAUGGUAUGGGUUUUGUGGACCGCAUGGGUGAAUUAGCUCCCGGUACUUUGCCUGGCAAUGGAGAGAUUCCAUAUGUUGGCGGCGAGUGUGUUGACAAAUGCAUCAGUGCUGGAAACUCUGGGAGUGUCAAUGCUCUCCUUGGCUUCAUAGCUCCAGAAAAGAAAAGGGGGGUCAGUAGACCAACGAAUAGCAGGGAGAACGCACCAUACGAGUGUCUGAGUAAGCGCACAAGAUUCUGCAGCAUAUGACGGCGUGAGGGGCACAAACGGACAACUUGCCCUGAGAGAGGAGAUGCACCGAAGAAGUCACAGAAGCUUGGAAGGUGUAAGAAUUGUGGUAUGGAAGGCCGCAGCCAUACCACGCGCACAAGCCGAUUGGGCAUUGCAGAAAACUGAAAUCUGGAAUUUAAAUGUUGUAAUCUAAGGUAUUUGUAUUCUGAGGAUUUUCUAGUGUUUUUCUGUGAGCAUUUGCUCCACACUUGUUCCUCAAUUUCGUGUGGCACUCUAUGUUGGUGCGAAAACCAUGUUUCAUGAAUAUUUGUACUAUGAUGAUUGUUUAAUCGAUGAACUGGAUGUAUCUGAUUUUCCGA